rnacentral:rRNA from 1 species
AUUGAACGCUGGCGGCAGGCCUAACACAUGCAAGUCGAACGGUAACAGGAAGAAGCUUGCUUCUUUGCUGACGAGUGGCGGACGGGUGAGUAAUGUCUGGGAAACUGCCUGAUGGAGGGGGAUAACUACUGGAAACGGUAGCUAAUACCGCAUAACGUCGCAAGACCAAAAAGGGGGACCUUCGGGCCUCUUGCCAUCGGAUGUGCCCAGAUGGGAUUAGCUAGUAGGUGGGGUAACGGCUCACCUAGGCGACGAUCCCUAGCUGGUCUGAGAGGAUGACCAGCCACACUGGAACUGAGACCCGGUCCAAACCCCUACGGGAGGCAGCAGGGGGGAAAUUUGCACAAUGGGCGCAAGCCUGAUGCAGCCAUGCCGGGUGUAUGAAGAAGGCCUUCGGGUUGUAAAGUACUUUAAGGGGGGAGGAAGGGAGUAAAGUUAAUACCUUUGCUCAUUGACGUUACCCGCAAAAGAAGCACCGGCUAACUCCGU